rnacentral:misc_RNA from 1 species
AAACAUUUUUCAGCUUAUUUCUAGGGGGGUUUGCUAGGAAAUCUAGAUAGGUUUCUGGGUCUUCUGCAUCUUUUGAGGAAAUUAAUCAAGAACCCUUGAAUGAUCAAACAAAGCCUGGAUUCUCUUUCUGAUUUCAACUAGUAUUUUUUUUUAACAUUUCCAGCAUUUCAACUCGUAGCUGCAGCCGCCAUAACCCAUAACCUAUUUUUUCCACUUUUUGUAGAGAGCAGCUGAUAUUUGCGGCCGUAUUAGUUUAAUAUUUAUGCGUCAGGGCCUAACAGUGUCUAGGGUUUCUUUUCUUUCUCGAGCCACUUUCUCUAUGGCUUUGAUUUGAUAAACUGCUAGGGUUCUUAAUCAGUUUAAUGAUUUCUUUUCAUCAGCUUUGUCCUCUUCUACUUUGGAUACACAUCUCAAGAAUCGCACACAAGAUCCUUAAAAGCUUUUGUUUCGCCACAUGUCCAUCAGCCUUUUGUUUCCUUUGUUUUCCAUUUAAUACAAUACAAUUCUAACUGAUUCAGUCACUUCAAUGCUGCUUCUUUUUCCUUCCCUCACCCCCCACCACCCUCUCUCUCUCUCUCUCUC